rnacentral:rRNA from 1 species
AUUGAACGCUGGCGGCAUGCUUUACACAUGCAAGUCGAACGGUAACAGGCCUUCGGGUGCUGACGAGUGGCGAACGGGUGAGUAAUGCAUCGGAACGUGCCCAGAGGUGGGGGAUAACGCAGCGAAAGCUGUGCUAAUACCGCAUGUGAUCUGAGGAUGAAAGCGGGGGACCAAGCAGCAAUGUUUGGCCUCGCGCCUCUGGAGCGGCCGAUGUCAGAUUAGGUAGUUGGUGGGGUAAAGGCCUACCAAGCCGACGAUCUGUAGCUGGUCUGAGAGGACGACCAGCCACACUGGGACUGAGACACGGCCCAGACUCCUACGGGAGGCAGCAGUGGGGAAUUUUGGACAAUGGGCGCAAGCCUGAUCCAGCAAUGCCGCGUGCGGGAAGAAGGCCUUCGGGUUGUAAACCGCUUUUGUACGGAACGAAAAGGCUCUGGCUAAUACCUGGGGCUGAUGACGGUACCGUAAGAAUAAGCACCGGCUAAAUACGUG